rnacentral:rRNA from 1 species
GGGCGCUAAUACCGCAUACGUCCUGAGGGAGAAAGUGGGGGAUCUUCGGACCUCACGCUAUCAGAUGAGCCUAGGUCGGAUUAGCUAGUUGGUGGGGUAAAGGCCUACCAAGGCGACGAUCCGUAACUGGUCUGAGAGGAUGAUCAGUCACACUGGAACUGAGACACGGUCCAGACUCCUACGGGAGGCAGCAGUGGGGAAUAUUGGACAAUGGGCGAAAGCCUGAUCCAGCCAUGCCGCGUGUGUGAAGAAGGUCUUCGGAUUGUAAAGCACUUUAAGUUGGGAGGAAGGGCAGUAAGUUAAUACCUUGCUGUUUUGACGUUACCAACAGAAUAAGCACCGGCUAACUUCGUGCCAGCAGCCGCGGUAAUACGAAGGGUGCAAGCGUUAAUCGGAAUUACUGGGCGUAAAGCGCGCGUAGGUGGUUCAGCAAGUUGGAUGUGAAAUCCCCGGGCUCAACCUGGGAACUGCAUCCAAAACUACUGAGCUAGAGUACGGUAGAGGGUGGUGGAAUUUCCUGUGUAGCGGUGAAAUGCGUAGAUAUAGGAAGGAACACCAGUGGCGAAGGCGACCACCUGGACUGAUACUGACACUGAGGUGCGAAAGCGUGGGGAGCAAACAGG